rnacentral:rRNA from 1 species
GCUAGUUUUCUAGCGAAUGGUUCAUUCUUUUUUACUGUGAACUGUUUUAAUUUUUCAGCGUCUGAGGAAUGUCUUUUAGCCAUAGGGAUAGGCUACUAGAAUGUUAACCGAGCUGAAAGUCAGGCUUAGGCCUGGUAUCCUAUUAAUUAUUUACCAAAAGAAUUCAGUAUUAUAAUUGUAACAUAAGCGUAAAAAACUUAUAAAACAACUUUUAACAACGGAUCUCUUGGUUCUCGCAUCGAUGAAGAACGUAGCAAAGUGCGAUAACUAGUGUGAAUUGCAUAUUCAGUGAAUCAUCGAGUCUUUGAACGCAACUUGCGCUCAAUGGUAUUCCAUUGAGCACGCCUGUUUCAGUAUCAAAAACACCCCACAUUCAUAAUUUUGUUGUGAAUGGAAAUGAGAGUUUCGGCUUUAUUGCUGAAUUCUUUAAAAUUAUUAGGCCUGAACUAUUGUUCUUUCUGCCUGAACAUUUUUUUAAUAUAAAGGAAUGCUCUAGUAAAAAGACUAUCUCUGGGGCCUCCCAAAUAAAUCAUUCUUAAAUUUGAUCUGAAAUCAGGCGGGAUUACCCGCUGAACUUAAGCAUAUCA